rnacentral:rRNA from 1 species
UGGGCAACCUGCCCUCAGCCCUGGGAUAACUCCGGGAAACCGGGGCUAAUACCGGAUACGACCUUCCCUCGCAUGGGGGUUGGUGGAAAGUUCUUCGGCUGAGGAUGGGCCCGCGGCCUAUCAGCUUGUUGGUGGGGUGAUGGCCUACCAAGGCGACGACGGGUAGCCGGCCUGGGAGGGCGACCGGCCACACUGGGACUGAGACACGGCCCAGACUCCUACGGGAGGCA